rnacentral:rRNA from 1 species
CCCCCAGGCGGGCGGACAUGUUGCUUAAUUCGACGCAACGCGAAGAACCUUACCAAGGUUUGACAUCACCCGUGGACCUGUAAAGAUACAGGGUCAUUUGGUUGGCGGGUGACAGGUGGUGCAUGGCUGUCGUCAGCUCGUGUCGUGAGAUGUUGGGUUAAGUCCCGCAACGAGCGCAACCCUUGUUCCAUGUUGCCAGCACGAAAUGGUGGGGACUCUUGGGAGACUGCCGGGGUCAACUCUGAGGAAG